rnacentral:rRNA from 1 species
AGUCUGUAGGUGGUUUGUCAAGUCUUUGGUGAAAGGCCGUAGCUUAACUAUGGGAAUGCCAAAGAGACUGGCAGGCUGGAGGCUGGGAGAGGGAAGCGGAAUUUCUGGUGUAGCGGUGAAAUGCGUAGAUAUCAGAAGGAAGGCCGGUGGCGAAGGCGGCUUCCUGGAACAGUCCUGACACUGAGAGACGAAAGCGUGGGGAGCAAACAGGAUUAGAUACCCUGGUAGUCCACGCCCUAAACGAUGGGUACUAAGUGUGGAGGGUUAAACCCUCCGUGCCGCAGCAAACGCAGUAAGUACCCCGCCUGGGGAGUACGGCCGCAAGGUU